rnacentral:rRNA from 1 species
GAUGAACGCUGGCGGCGUGCCUAAUAAAUGCAAGUCGAGCGAAUGGAUUAAGAGCUUGCUCUUAUGAAGUUAGCGGCGGACGGGUGAGUAACACGUGGGUAACAUGCCCAUAAGACUGGGAUAACUCCGGGAAACCGGGGCUAAUACCGGAUAAUAUUUUGAACUGCAUGGUUCAAAAUUGAAAGGCGGCUUCGGAUGUCACUUAUGGAUGGACCCGGGUCGCAUUAGCUAGUGGGUGAGGUAACGGCUCACCAAAGCAACGAUGCGUAGACGACCUGAGAGGAUGAUCGGCCACACUGGUACUGAGGCACGACCCAUACUCCUACGGGGGGCGGCAGUAGGGAAUCUUCCGCAAUGGACGAAAGUCUGACGGAGCAACGCCUCGUGAGUGAUGAAGGCUUUCGGGUCGUAAAACUCUGUUGUUAGAGAAGAACAAGUGCUAGUUGAAUAAGCUGGCACCUUGACGGUACCUAACCAGAAAGCCACGGCUAACUACGUGCCAGCAGCCGCCGCCG